AACCUGUGACUACAAGUUGUAUAGAUGAUCUUGAAACAUUUGAAUGCCGAGUUAUUACAAGUUCAAGUUUUUUAAAGUAAGGAGUCGAGAUUAAGGUCUGAGGAAGGACCACGAAUUCGACCGAGAGACGCGGGAAGAGAACGAGACGCGUACGCGCCGGCCGACGGCCAUAAACUUGACUCGAUGCUGCUCUCUUCUCGAAACCAACACCGACACCGACACACACUGACUCUGGUUACAGAAACUCGGUCCCGGCACAAAGAACGCGCGACAGUGUUGCCAACACACGAUCUUUCAAACGUCGCUGACCGUGCACAGCACCGUAUGCUUCCCAGGGACGUAAUGUUAAGUCCCAGAGCCCGGACCCCGAUUUUGUAGUAUAAAAACUCGGCAAAUUACCCUAUAAACUGGACGGUACUGAAAAUUUCAAGAAAUUUUCUUCCACGGUACUCGGACCUUUCGGCAGUCGUUUACGAUAUUACAACACUUGUGACUGCCGUAAUGUAGAAUACUAAAGGAGCGGAAUUAACAGCUCGACGAAUUAACGUGGUAUCGUCUGUUUCAAUUUGCAUAAUCAACGAAUCGAGUAAAGUUCAUCUAAUAGAAAAAUCGGCUGAAUUGGUAAUCAAACUUUCCAAAAAUUAUCCGACAAUAUAUUCCAACUACAGAAUCAAAAAAAUUGACGUCAAAAUCAAGGUUGGAGUAGGUUCAUUUCCCCAUGGCAAAAAAGACAAACAAAGAGAUCGCGAGUUUGGAUAAACAAUGUUGUAUGAAAUUACGCAGGUCCAGAAUAAUGCGAAAACCAGGUACGAUGUAAAUCGUAUCGCGUGCUUUUAGUAAUGUACAAUCAUUUUUCGCCGAUCGGAAGCGCGGCGCAUUUUAGCGAGAGACGAACACAUGCCAAUCCGCAUUUCCUUGGAGAUUCAUAUAUAUACGUGUCGUUCUCUGUCUGACGGGUUUGAAAAAAAUCGAAUCCGAAAAGCCGUUGGAACGAACCGGACUUUGAUUCGAGAAUUCACGAUGCGUACUCCGAGCGGCCGACAAACAGGCGGCUCGAUAUUCCGUUACCUCCAACGUUUCCGCGGCAAGGCAUGUAUUAUACCCGAGUGAGGAAUUUCCUCUCGCUGCCAGCUCGAAAUUUUCGUCAAAUUACGAAGCGGCGCGCGUUCGCCUGACGUAAGCUUGGCAACGGCGCUUUCAUCAAACUGCCUAACGCUCUGCUCGGUUCCUGCUCUUCUACCACCACCGGCUGCAUCGGUCGGCUAGCCGUCAGGAUCGGGAGGAGAGGCGGUUUCACGGAACAAGGGGAGAGGUAGAAAAGAGACGAGAGAAAAGUGGGGAAUGAAAGAGAGAAAAAGAGACGGACACAAAGCCGGAUAGGAACCUUGGGAGAUUCGAAAUAUUUCCAAAAUUCGCCGGAGGGAAAAAGUGGAAUGGAAAAAAAAAUAAAACCGUACGAAACGAUGAUUCCUUUCCAUUAUCAUGGGGAAAAAAAGUAAACCACAAUUUCCAA